UACAGAGGUCUCAAGCGUUGUUCGGAUUCAUUGGGCGUAAAGGGUGCGUAGGUGGCGCGGUAAGUCGGGUGUGAAAUCUCGGAGCUUAACUCCGAAAUUGCAUUCGAUACUGCCGUGCUCGAGGACUGGAGAGGAGACUGGAAUUCAUGGUGUAGCAGUGAAAUGCGUAGAGAUCAUGAGGAAGACCGGUGGCGAAGGCGGCGUUCUGGACUGCAACUGACACUGAGGAACGAAAGCCAGGGGAGCAAACGGG
rnacentral:rRNA from 1 species